GACAGAGGUGCCAAGCGUUAGGCGGAAUCACUGGGCUUAAAGCGUGUGUAGGCGGAGGCGUAAGUACCUUGUGAAAUCCCACGGCUUAACCGUGGAACUGCUUGGUAUACUGCGUCUCUUGAGCCAACUAGGGGCUAUCGGAACAAGUGGUGGAGCGGUGAAAUGCGUAGAUAUCAGGAGGAACACCGGUGGCGAAGGCGGAUCUCUGGGCCAUUACUGACGCUGAGGAGCGAAAGCGUGGGGAGCGAACAGG
rnacentral:rRNA from 1 species